rnacentral:rRNA from 1 species
GAGUUUGAUCCUGGCUCAGGAUGAACGCUAGCGGCAGGCCUAACACAUGCAAGUCGAGGGGUAACAGGGAGUGCUUGCACUCUGCUGACGACCGGCGCACGGGUGCGUAACGCGUAUGCAAUCUACCUCUUACUGAGGGAUAGCCCAUGGAAACGUGGAUUAAUACCUCAUAGUAUUAUAGACUGGCCUCAGUUUAUGAUUAAAGGUUACGGUAAGAGAUGAGCAUGCGUCCUAUUAGCUAGAUGGUAAGGUAACGGCUUACCAUGGCUACGAUAGGUAGGGGUCCUGAGAGGGAGAUCCCCCACACUGGUACUGAGACACGGACCAGACUCCUACGGGAGGCAGCAGUGAGGAAUAUUGGACAAUGGGCGAGAGCCUGAUCCAGCCAUGCCGCGUGCAGGAAGACGGCCCUAUGGGUUGUAAACUGCUUUUACAGAGGAAGAACCCUCCUUACGUGUAAGGAGCUGACGGUACUCUAUGAAUAAGGAUCGGCUAACUCCGUGCCAGCAGCCGCGGUAAUACGGAGGAUCCAAGCGUUAUCCGGAAUCAUUGGGUUUAAAGGGUCCGUAGGCGGGUCUAUAAGUCAGUGGUGAAAGUCUGCAGCUUAACUGUAGAACUGCCAUUGAUACUGUAGACCUUGAAUUAGUAUGAAGUGGUUAGAAUGUGUAGUGUAGCGGUGAAAUGCAUAGAUAUUACACAGAAUACCGAUUGCGAAGGCAGAUCACUAAUACUAUAUUGACGCUGAUGGACGAAAGCAUGGUUACUAGCUGUCCGGCCUAAUUGAGGGCUGGGUGGUUAAGCGAAAGUGAUAAGUAACCCACCUGGGGAGUACGUUCGCAAGAAUGAAACUCAAAGGAAUUGACGGGGGCCCGCACAAGCGGUGGAGCAUGUGGUUUAAUUCGAUGAUACGCGAGGAACCUUACCAGGGCUUAAAUGCAGUCUGACGUAUCUGGAAACAGAUAUUUCUUCGGACAGAUUGCAAGGUGCUGCAUGGUUGUCGUCAGCUCGUGCCGUGAGGUGUCAGGUUAAGUCCUAUAACGAGCGCAACCCCUGUGGUUAGUUGCCAGCGAGUAAUGUCGGGAACUCUAGCCAGACUGCCGGUGCAAACCGUGAGGAAGGUGGGGAUGACGUCAAAUCAUCACGGCCCUUACGUCCUGGGCCACACACGUGCUACAAUGGUAGGGACAGAGAGCAGCCACUUCGCGAGAAGGAGCGAAUCUAUAAACCCUAUCACAGUUCGGAUCGUAGUCUGCAACUCGACUACGUGAAGCUGGAAUCGCUAGUAAUCGCAUAUCAGUCAUGAUGCGGUGAAUACGUUCCCGGGCCUUGUACACACCGCCCGUCAAGCCAUGGAAGCCGGGGGUACCUGAAGUCCGUUACCGCAAGGAGCGGCCUAGGGUAAAACUGGUAACUGGGGCUAAGUCGUAACAAGGUAGCCGUACCGGAAGGUGCGGCUGGAUCACCUCCUUUCU